AAUGAACGCUGGCGGCAGGCCUAACACAUGCAAGUCGAACGGAUCCUUCGGGAUUAGUGGCGGACGGGUGAGUAACGCGUGGGAACAUACCCUUUGGUACGGAAUAGCCUCGGGAAACUGGGAGUAAUACCGUAUGUGGUCGAGAGAAGAAAGAUUUAUCGCCAAAGGAUUGGCCCGCGUUGGAUUAGGUAGUUGGUGGGGUAAUGGCCUACCAAGCCGACGAUCCAUAGCCGGUUUGAGAGGAUGUUCAGCCACACUGGGACUGAGACACGGCCCAGACUCCUACGGGAGGCAGCAGUGGGGAAUCUUAGACAAUGGGGGAAACCCUGAUCUAGCCAUGCCGCGUGAUCGAUGAAGGCCUUAGGGUUGUAAAGAUCUUUCAGGUGGGAAGAUAAUGACUGUACCACCAGAAGAAGCCCCGGCUAACUCCGUGCCAGCAGCCGCAGCAA
rnacentral:rRNA from 1 species